UCUGCAUGUACUCUUCUAAUCAAGCAAUAAACUAAGCAGCCAAUCAAUUAACCAAUCAAUCAAUAGUUGACGAGCCUCCUCUGUUUUAAUUGAACAACCUCCUCUGUUUUUAACUCCUCCCAAAUUCUUGCUCCCAAAAUUAAAGUCCUAAACACAUUGUCCUAACUCACUACUACUAAAGCUUCCGCACCAAAUUCCAACAGUGGUAUCAAAGCCACAAAUUCUAACAUGUUUAAUGAGUGUAGAUGACUGUUUAUCUGGUUUAAGUCUAACUAUUGUUCUUCUUAUUCAGAAUGCCCUAUUUGAAUUUUGAUUUUAUUGCCUUUGUUCUAUUAGGACUCUAAGAAACAAAGCAAUUGCUACCAAUGAUGGAAUGGCAUUAACUCUUUAUCAGGAAGCUGCUUGCGGGUUGAUUUCCGGGGCGGCUGAGGCAUACUUCAGUUUUCCAUUUGUUUCUGCAUGUCUCCCGCAGGUUGAUCCUACGACUUUAUCAGUCGUGCAGCGUGCCAAAUACAGAAACAUAUUUGAUGCUCUCAACUCUAUGAGUGGCAAUAGAAAAAUUUCAGCACUAUGGACAAAUGCUGGUCCUUAUGUGAAGACAAGAAUGGGGACAAAUGUGGGUAUGCUCGCAUCUUAUAAUCCAAGCCUCUGUUAUCUCAGGGACUCAUGUGGUUUAAGCGAAACAAGAGCACAGCUGGGCAAUAGACAUGGACAUAUAGACAUGCAUCAACGAUCAAACAGGAAGAUCCGAGUGCAAACAAAUUUUUCUUAACAUGCAUGGAAAAUCUUAUUGGAGGUUGGCCCAACAAAAUUAUUAACUUAUUGUUCUUUACAAGUACAUGUAUGGAAGUUCCAUAUACAACUAAUCUUUUGUGAUAUUAAUUGCAUGGCUGAAAAAUUUGAGCCUAUUAAUAGCGUAUUAAUUCCCUGCAGUCAGCCACUCAGUUGCAUCCUUCAUCCAAGAAAUUGACAAAGAGGUAGAUUGGCUGUAUGUGCAUUGGUCAACUAGCUUGGCCUAUUCUCAAUCAAUCGAUCUAGUCUAUGACUAAGUAUUAUAAAGAAUUGGUCCAUCAUUAGUAUAAAGAUGCAUUAAGAUACCUAGAUCAUUUCGUUUAAUUAAUAAUUAAUAAUAUAUACAAUUUGGUGCGCUUGUUCUUUGUUUUGCUUUAGUCCACUUCCUUUUGACGCUUAUAUUUUUAACUAAUGGUAAUUUGUUGUAUAUGUGUAACAUUAUAUCAAACUCAAUUGGUUUUUCUUUAACACUAAAAAACGUUCAUUCUGCGCUGCCUUCAUGCUUCAUGCCCCGCUAAGAUAUUGCAUUUUAUUUUAGGAGGUGAUGAAAUUGGCUUCUUCUUUUUUUUUCUUUUGCAAACUACACCCUUGUAUCUUUACUUUUGUAUAUGUUUUACAAUGAACAUGUGCAUAACAAAAAGAAGAGGUGAUGUGGUUUGCAAAAAAUCGUGUGUCGAUUUCACUCCUCUUUAUUUUUUUAAGAUUAUCGAUAUUUUAUAAAAAUUGGUUUGUGAUAGAUUCUUAGACAAAGUAACCUCUUUAUCCAAAAAAAAUAAUACUAAUAAUAACAAACCGAAAACAAAAGAGAUUGAGAGCUUUAGGGUUCAAGUGCUCAGCUCUUACAUGAGAUUAAUUAGUUUCCCAAUUGCAUCAGUUCAAUGAGAUCCACGUAAUGACGUAAAAAGAAUAAUUGUUAGGAUCAGUUCAAUGAGAGAGGUUAGCAUGUCCUGAUAAAUUUUUUCUUCGUCAAAAAAGAAAUGUAGUGAAAAUUUUUUUCCUACAUAUUAAUUCAUGAACCUGUUAAACUUUCCUUCAUUAAA